UUUCCUACGGGACGCAGCAGUGGGGAAUAUUGCACAAUGGGGGAAAUCCUGAACCAGCCAUGCCGCGUGCAGGAUGACGGCUCUACGAGUUGUAAACUGCUUUUGUACCGGGGUAAAAUGCCUUACGUGUAGGGUUUUGAAAGUACGGUACGAAUAAGGAUCGGCUAACUCCGUGCCAGCAGCCGCGGUAAUACGGAGGAUCCGAGCGUUAUCCGGAUUCAUUGGGUUUAAAGGGUGCGUAGGUUGUUUUAUAAGUUAGCGGUGAAAUACCGAUGCUCAACAUCGGGGCUGCCGCUAAUACUGUA
rnacentral:rRNA from 1 species